GUCAUCUUUUUCUCUGUAAACGUUUGUUGAAAUCGAUGUUUUAAUGUAUCCGUCGAACUUUUAUUAAUUACGAUUAUUUUAUUGCGAUUAUUUAACGAGAGGCAGAUGCUUCUUUGAAUAAAGGAUAUAUGUAAUUUGCGGUAUGGAAGAAAUCAUUUUAUGACGAGGUCAUUGAUAUUGAUGUAUAUUAUGAUGUACCAUGAUAGCAUUCGUAAGAACGAAAGUCGUUUGCCUUGGACACUAAAUUUGAACGAUACACAUGUUAGGAAAGCGAUUACGACUUGUAGAAGUUACUCGAGUUGAUUUAUGUAACAAAUCGAA
rnacentral:misc_RNA from 1 species